UGUCAAGAUUUAUAGUAGAGGUAUAUUUGUUUUGGUCUGUUCUCACCCAAAAUCAUGAAAACAUUUGCUUCAGAACACAUUUAUUAAACUACUGGAGUCUUAUGGUUACAAUUAAGCUUUUUCUGUCUUUUUCAGAACUCCUAUUCACUUGCAUUUUAUGGGUGUAUUCACAUCAUACGUCCAUCAAAAUAUAAGUCACAUGACUUAAAAGCAGUAAUGUUUAGAUAAUUGGGCAAAGUUCUGAUAUUCUGAUACAUCUACAAAGAUUUUAUGAUGCUCAGUGUUAUGUGUAUUGUUUUUAAUCUAUCAAUAUUCUGCUUCACAGGUGCCAAAGGCUCCAUCCAAGUCUUCUCUGUCUGGUUCUGCCAAAGUAAGUAUUUUUUUUUCACCUUGCAAAAAUACAUUGUGCAGUUACAUCAGUGUCAUUGCUUUGUUAAUUCUUAAUAAAGUGUGUAAAUGUUUGUAGGUAAGCUCUUCUGUCUGUAAACUGUCCGUCUGUAAUAACAUUUAAUUUUAUUAUUUUUUUGUCAUUUUUACUUUUAUUAGUGUUGCAGUGAUGCUAAUUAUGUAAGUACUUUUUGCUGAGGAUUUAGGUCUGUACAUACAGAUUUGUUAUGCAUUUCUGUGAUGGAUGAAAUGGUUGAAUAAAAACUUAAGUUGAGUUUUAAAUAAUUUAUUUGAAAAUAAUCUAUAUUGUAAAUCUCUUUUUAUGUGAUCACAACCACAGGUGGAGUUAGCACAUGGCACAGGUAUAACCAUUCUAAAGCAUCGAUGGACUUCUGCCGUGCAGACCCAAACAGCCACUUCAAUGGUACAUGUAAUGGCCUCCUUCCCACUGGAGAUUCUGAUCCACAGCAAUUUGAAAGGAGGAAUGAGUAAAACUGACUGUGGUGCAGAGAGAAGGAAUGCCCUUGACAAGGACACCAUGGCAGCAAUAUAUGUGGCAGUGAAGAAGUUUCCCAAUGUGUCCAGAGGAGCUUUGGGGUUUGCAGUGAAUUCUAAGAUGGGGGAACUGAGAUGGCU